rnacentral:snRNA from 1 species
GGAUGUGAGGGUGAUCUGGCUGCAACACCUGUCACCCCAUUGACAUCCAGGGUUGAUUUGGCUGAUCUGUCUUGACUAGACAGUUGUCCCCUUCCUCCCUUACAAUUCCAUGUGCGUCCCUCCCAAAGCUGUGCUCUUGUUGACAAGGAUGACCAUCCCUGAUAGAGGAGGACUGGUCUUUGGUCAAGGGUAUACAAGCAGCUGUUCUCCCCUGCUAGAACCUCCAGAAAACUCUCAAGGUCCAUUCAAAGGAAAAAGUAGGGUAGUCAAGCUUCCAAGACUCCAGACAUAUCCAAAUGAGGGGCUGCAUGUGGCAGUCCACCUUUCU